GUGUGUUGCGGUAGUAAGUUGAUCGCAUGCUAUUGCUUCUGCUACUACACGGUCUAUGGACAGUAACGUUUUAGCUACAUUGUGUCAUGUCAUGAUUAUGCCCGCGGUAAAACACGGAUAAAUAACUCGAUAUGGUGUUACCAAAAUAACCGGUUAGUGUUACAGUUCAAGGGCAACCAAUUUACGCUGUACUACUGUAUUACGCUGUAGUGCAACAACUUGAAAUGAUUGUCUGACAUUCGCUCACAUAUUGAGUGAAAGCAUGCUGAAAGCAUUUCUAACAGUAGGCCUACGGUCUGCUUGGGUCGGUGUUUCAGUAGUGAAGUGAGUGGUGCAGUUUCCAAGUUAGCCGGGUUCUCCUCUCCACCAUUCUCAACGGAGGCUUCACUCUAUGUGCACUGGCCCUACUGUCUGAAGAGAUGUUCCUACUGUAACUUCAACAAGUACAUCCCUCGCUCUGACAACCAGGACGUCAUGUUGGAGUGUCUCCAGCGGGAGACCGAGACCUUACUAAAGCUCAGCCAGGUGUCCCGUCUCUCUCCCCCUCCCUCCCAGUCUCUCUCCCCCUCCC